GAGAUUUUGUUAAAGCUAAAAGGAUACUUCUUGAGAUGGAGAGUAACGGAGUUAAGCCUAACACCAAGACAUACACUGCACUGAUAGAUGGUUAUUGCCAGAAAGGUAUAAUGAAUGAAGCUUAUAAGCUAAGAAUUGUCAUGGAAUCUAAGGACUUGAUAGCUAACGUCUAUACAUACACCUCACUUGUACAUGGGGAAUGCAAAUCAGGAAAGGUAGAUGAUGCUCUGAAGCUUUUCAAUGAGAUGCCUACAAAGGGUUUAGUUCCGAAUGUUGUGACUUAUACAGCAGUGAUUUCUGGCUUAUCAAAAGAAGGCAGAUCAGGUGAAGCCCUCCGAUUAUACAAUCAGAUGAUAGAGGCAGGCGUAAUACAUGAUGCUGCUGCAUACUCUGCACUUAGUUUUUUUGGCGGGACAACUGGAGUAGCAAAGGUCCUCUAGCCAAUGAUUACCAUGAAACAGAGAAGAAUACCGAGACUCUAGUAAGACAUUUCAUUAAUAAUGGAACUUGGGGCAAUGCAAAGAUGCAGAACAUCCUAUGAGAUAGCACAAUUCAACAGAUCAAGACCAUUGGAAUUGGCAAGUAUGACACUCAAGACAAGGUCUUUUGGGACCUCACAGAAGAUGGGAAAUAUUCCAACAGACCACAAUAUUGAUCAGAUUUGGUAUUCUGAAGGAUACUCUAUGCAACUGCUGCUCUCUUCCUAAAAUGAAAAUCAAAUGCAACAUGUUUUUCUUCAUGGAGAGGCAGCUCAAUAUGUGUGGAAGCACUUUGGAGGGCCACUGGCAAUCAGAACUUACAACUGGUGGAAUCAAAAAUCAAAUAACUCCAUCGACAAGCUAGUUCUUCAAACUAUACCAGGCCUUAUCUGUUUGGAGAUUUUGAAACAAAGGUCCGAGUGUAGUAAUUAUGGAGGCUUAAGGAAUUUCAACAGAUAUAUGAUGAUCCAACACAUUGGCUGCAGCAUUCAGAGUACAAUUGCUAAAGCUUAUCCAAAAGUUGGUUUGACAUUACUUUGGAUCACUCUUUGUGAAAAAUUUGUGCAGCUGGAACCUUUCUCAUACCUUUCUAUUGUAUGCUGGAAGUUCCCUGAAAAUGGCAUCCUUAAAUUGAAAACUUACGGAAGCUACUGCUCAGCUAGUGGAAAAUCUGUUAUGAGGGGAGUUUCGAGGGAUGAUAGAGGCAAUCUCAUCUUGGUUUUCUGCUCACCUUCGAGUUGUUGCAGCAGCACAUAAGCAGAAGCUAAGGCUGCCAGUUAUGGACUAAGCCUCUGCCUUCUGAAAAAUCUGAAGAACUUCACCAAAGAUACAGACUCUUUGAUCCUAUUUCCGAUGAUUGUGAACAACCAGCAAUCCAACUACAAGCUGAAUUUCAUUAUUGAGGAGAUACAACAAAGAAUGAAACUAGCUAAUGUUAAAGCAACUCACUACGAGGCUAACGAAGUAGCACUGGCAAUGAACAGUCGAAAACAAUUCUUCUUUUGACUCCUUUCAACAUCUUCCAGCAAGGGCAAAAUAGAGUUUUUGGUGGGACAACUGGAGUAGCAAAGGUCCUCUAGCCAAUGAUUACCAUGAAACAGAGAAAAAUACCGAGACUCUAGUAAGACAUUUCAUUACCAAUGGAACUUGGGAUAAUGCAAAGAUGCAGAACAUCCUAUGAGAUAGCACAAUUCAAUAUAUCAAGACCAUUGGAAUUGGCAAGUAUGACACUCAAGAUAAGGUCUUUUGGGACCUCACAGAAGAUGGGAAAUAUUCUAACAGACCACAAUAUUGAUCAGGAUACUCUAUGCAACUGCUGCUCUCUUCCUAAAUUGAAAAUCAAAUGCAACAUGUUUUUCUUCAUGGAGAGGCAGCUCAAUAUGUGUGGAAGCACUUUGGAGGGCCACUGGCAAUCAGAACUUACAACUGGUGGAAUCAAAAAUCAAAUAACUCCACCGACACGCUAGUUCUUCAAACUAUACCAGGCCUUAUCUGCUUGGAGAUUUAGAAUCAAAGGUCCGAGCGUAGUAAUUAUGGAGGCUUAAGGAAUCUCAACAGAUAUAUGAUGAUCCAACUCAUUGGGUGCAGCAUUCAGAGUACAAUUGCUAAAGCUAUCCAAAAGUUGGUUCGACAUAACUUUGGAUCACUCUUUGUGAAAAAUUUGUGAAGCUGAAACCUGCCUCAAACCUUUCUAUUGUAUGCUGGAAGUUCCCUGAAAAUGGCGUCAUUAAAUUGAAAACUGACGGAAGCUACUGCUCAGCUAGUGGAAAAUUUGGUAUGAGGGGAGUUUUGAGGGAUGAUAGAGGCAAUCUCAUCUUCGCUUUCUCCUCACCUUCGAGUGGUAGCAGCAUCACAGAAGCAGAAGCUAAGGCUGCCAGUUUUGGACUAAGAGCCUCUGCAUUUUGAAAAAUCUGAAGAAUUUCACCAAAGAGAGACUCUUUGAACCUAUUUCCUAUGAUUUUGAACAACCAGUAAUCCAACUACAUGCUGA